rnacentral:rRNA from 1 species
UGGGGAAUUUUGGACAAUGGGCGAAAGCCUGAUCCAGCAAUGCCGCGUGUGUGAAGAAGGCCUUCGGGUUGUAAAGCACUUUUGUCCGGAAAGAAAUCCUUGGCUCUAAUACAGUCGGGGGAUGACGGUACCGGAAGAAUAAGCACCGGCUAACUACGUGCCAGCAGCCGCGGUAAUACGUAGGGUGCAAGCGUUAAUCGGAAUUACUGGGCGUAAAGCGUGCGCAGGCGGUUUGCUAAGACCGAUGUGAAAUCCCCGGGCUCAACCUGGGAACUGCAUUGGUGACUGGCAGGCUAGAGUAUGGCAGAGGGGGGUAGAAUUCCACGUGUAGCAGUGAAAUGCGUAGAGAUGUGGAGGAAUACCGAUGGCGAAGGCAGCCCACUGGGCCCAAUACUGACGCUCAUGCACGAAAAGCGUGGGGAGCAAAACNGGAUUAAUACCCUGGUAGUCCACGCCCUAAACGAUGUCAACUAGUUGUUGGGGAUUCAUUUCCUUAGUAACGUAGCUAACGCGUGAAGUUGACCGCCUGGGGAGUAC